AGCGAACGCUGGCGGCAAGCUUAACACAUGCAAGUCGAACGAUGUAGCAAUACAUAGUGGCGGACGGGUGCAUAACACGUGGGUAUCUGCCUUUAGGUACGGAAUAACUCAGGGAAACUUGAGCUAAUACCGUAUAAUAUCUCUGGAUCAAAGAUUUAUCGCCUAAAGAUGAGCCCGCGGCAGAUUAGCUAGUUGGUGGGGUAAUGGCCUACCAAGGCGACGAUCUGUAGCUGGUCUUAGAGGAUGAUCAGCCACACCGGGACUGAGACACGGCCCAGACUCCUACGGGAGGCAGCAGUGGGGAAUAGUGGACAAUGGGGGCAACCCUGAUCCAGCUAUGCCGCGUGAGUGAUGAAGGCCUUAGGGUUGUAAAGCUCGUUUAGAUGGGAAGAUAAUGACGGUACCAUCAGAAAAAGCCCCGGCUAACUUCGUGCCAGCCGCCGCAGUAA
rnacentral:rRNA from 1 species